CUCCUAGUGGCCAGUUCUGCUUUAGAGGUGGCCAGCAAAUCUGCCUUUUUAAGUGCUGUCAGGGCUUCCUGAUGUGCAAUCCAUCCUCCUCUCCUGUGCACUGCUGGGGAGCUGUGUCAGAGAAGAAGACUCAUGCACUGCCAAAACCUGUGUGAGGAUGGAGAAAUUGUGACUGGAAAGCAGCAGGCCAGAGAGAAGCAUUCCUGUAGAGACAGUUACAGGUAUUUGCUUGCAGACCAGUCACCCACUGCCAUGAACGUUGCAGUGGGAGGCCUCAUUUGGGAGCCAAGAGUCAUCUUCUGCCUGCUUGUUCCAGCUACA